rnacentral:rRNA from 1 species
GGUUAAGCGACUAAGCGUACACGGUGGAUGCCCUGGCAGUCAGAGGCGAUGAAGGACGUGCUAAUCUGCGAUAAGCGUCGGUAAGGUGAUAUGAACCGUUAUAACCGGCGAUUUCCGAAUGGGGAAACCCAGUGUGAUUCGUCACACUAUCAUUAACUGAAUCCAUAGGUUAAUGAGGCAAACCGGGGGAACUGAAACAUCUAAGUACCCCGAGGAAAAGAAAUCAACCGAGAUUCCCCCAGUAGCGGCGAGCGAACGGGGAGCAGCCCAGAGCCUGAAUCAGUGUGUGUGUUAGUGGAAGCGUCUGGAAAGGCGCGCGAUACAGGGUGACAGCCCCGUACACAAAAAUGCACAUGCUGUGAGCUCGAUGAGUAGGGCGGGACACGUGGUAUCCUGUCUGAAUAUGGGGGGACCAUCCUCCAAGGCUAAAUACUCCUGACUGACCGAUAGUGAACCAGUACCGUGAGGGAAAGGCGAAAAGAACCCCGGCGAGGGGAGUGAAAAAGAACCUGAAACCGUGUACGUACAAGCAGUGGGAGCACGCUUAGGCGUGUGACUGCGUACCUUUUGUAUAAUGGGUCAGCGACUUAUAUUCUGUAGCAAGGUUAACCGAAUAGGGGAGCCGAAGGGAAACCGAGUCUUAACUGGGCGUUAAGUUGCAGGGUAUAGACCCGAAACCCGGUGAUCUAGCCAUGGGCAGGUUGAAGGUUGGGUAACACUAACUGGAGGACCGAACCGACUAAUGUUGAAAAAUUAGCGGAUGACUUGUGGCUGGGGGUGAAAGGCCAAUCAAACCGGGAGAUAGCUGGUUCUCCCCGAAAGCUAUUUAGGUAGCGCCUCGUGAAUUCAUCUCCGGGGGUAGAGCACUGUUUCGGCAAGGGGGUCAUCCCGACUUACCAACCCGAUGCAAACUGCGAAUACCGGAGAAUGUUAUCACGGGAGACACACGGCGGGUGCUAACGUCCGUCGUGAAGAGGGAAACAACCCAGACCGCCAGCUAAGGUCCCAAAGUCAUGGUUAAGUGGGAAACGAUGUGGGAAGGCCCAGACAGCCAGGAUGUUGGCUUAGAAGCAGCCAUCAUUUAAAGAAAGCGUAAUAGCUCACUGGUCGAGUCGGCCUGCGCGGAAGAUGUAACGGGGCUAAACCAUGCACCGAAGCUGCGGCAGCGACACUAUGUGUUGUUGGGUAGGGGAGCGUUCUGUAAGCCUGUGAAGGUGUACUGUGAGGUAUGCUGGAGGUAUCAGAAGUGCGAAUGCUGACAUAAGUAACGAUAAAGCGGGUGAAAAGCCCGCUCGCCGGAAGACCAAGGGUUCCUGUCCAACGUUAAUCGGGGCAGGGUGAGUCGACCCCUAAGGCGAGGCCGAAAGGCGUAGUCGAUGGGAAACAGGUUAAUAUUCCUGUACUUGGUGUUACUGCGAAGGGGGGACGGAGAAGGCUAUGUUGGCCGGGCGACGGUUGUCCCGGUUUAAGCGUGUAGGCUGGUUUUCCAGGCAAAUCCGGAAAAUCAAGGCUGAGGCGUGAUGACGAGGCACUACGGUGCUGAAGCAACAAAUGCCCUGCUUCCAGGAAAAGCCUCUAAGCAUCAGGUAACAUCAAAUCGUACCCCAAACCGACACAGGUGGUCAGGUAGAGAAUACCAAGGCGCUUGAGAGAACUCGGGUGAAGGAACUAGGCAAAAUGGUGCCGUAACUUCGGGAGAAGGCACGCUGAUAUGUAGGUGAAGUCCCUCGCGGAUGGAGCUGAAAUCAGUCGAAGAUACCAGCUGGCUGCAACUGUUUAUUAAAAACACAGCACUGUGCAAACACGAAAGUGGACGUAUACGGUGUGACGCCUGCCCGGUGCCGGAAGGUUAAUUGAUGGGGUUAGCGCAAGCGAAGCUCUUGAUCGAAGCCCCGGUAAACGGCGGCCGUAACUAUAACGGUCCUAAGGUAGCGAAAUUCCUUGUCGGGUAAGUUCCGACCUGCACGAAUGGCGUAAUGAUGGCCAGGCUGUCUCCACCCGAGACUCAGUGAAAUUGAACUCGCUGUGAAGAUGCAGUGUACCCGCGGCAAGACGGAAAGACCCCGUGAACCUUUACUAUAGCUUGACACUGAACAUUGAGCCUUGAUGUGUAGGAUAGGUGGGAGGCUUUGAAGUGUGGACGCCAGUCUGCAUGGAGCCGACCUUGAAAUACCACCCUUUAAUGUUUGAUGUUCUAACGUUGACCCGUAAUCCGGGUUGCGGACAGUGUCUGGUGGGUAGUUUGACUGGGGCGGUCUCCUCCUAAAGAGUAACGGAGGAGCACGAAGGUUGGCUAAUCCUGGUCGGACAUCAGGAGGUUAGUGCAAUGGCAUAAGCCAGCUUGACUGCGAGCGUGACGGCGCGAGCAGGUGCGAAAGCAGGUCAUAGUGAUCCGGUGGUUCUGAAUGGAAGGGCCAUCGCUCAACGGAUAAAAGGUACUCCGGGGAUAACAGGCUGAUACCGCCCAAGAGUUCAUAUCGACGGCGGUGUUUGGCACCUCGAUGUCGGCUCAUCACAUCCUGGGGCUGAAGUAGGUCCCAAGGGUAUGGCUGUUCGCCAUUUAAAGUGGUACGCGAGCUGGGUUUAGAACGUCGUGAGACAGUUCGGUCCCUAUCUGCCGUGGGCGCUGGAGAACUGAGGGGGGCUGCUCCUAGUACGAGAGGACCGGAGUGGACGCAUCACUGGUGUUCGGGUUGUCAUGCCAAUGGCACUGCCCGGUAGCUAAAUGCGGAAGAGAUAAGUGCUGAAAGCAUCUAAGCACGAAACUUGCCCCGAGAUGAGUUCUCCCUGACUCCUUGAGAGUCCUGAAGGAACGUUGAAGACGACGACGUUGAUAGGCCGGGUGUGUAAGCGCAGCGAUGCGUUGAGCUAACCGGUACUAAUGAACCGUGAGGCUUAACCUU